rnacentral:tRNA from 2 species
GCCGAGGUAGUCUAGUGGUAAGGCGCAAGCCUGGAAAGCUUGUGGGGCACAACGCCCCUCGGGAGUUCAAAUCCCCCCCUCGGCGCCA